GUCUUAGUAAAGCAGGCGCUGGAGGGGUCUAACGCAGUGCCUCCCAGACAGGACAGAAACACGACAAACUACAGAACAAGACGAGAAGACCCACAGCAGCGCCUUGGCUGCACCUCCAAACAACCAACCGAAUAUCCAGCCGAGCCAAACAAGACGGCCUCUGGGAACACACGCUCACACGGUCUCCACCCAGUCCUCCUCCCUCUCUGUUGGCUCGCCGACUUCUGACACUCAGUGUGGGCUUGACUAGGUGUGAGAAAACAGCUGAGACUCUCACAGCAGGAUGAAUGCCAGUGAGCAGACCGUGGGCCUCCUGAACAAAGUGUGGCUCAAGCUUACCAGCCUGUCCAGCGCCCACCCUCUGGAGCUGGGAGCCUUCUUCAUCCUCCUAAUCUUCAUCUUUACGGUGAUUCUCCUGAUGGCGUUGACCUGCGUGUGCCGCUGCUGCUGCAGCUGCUGCCCCUGCUGUAAGGCCAAACGGGACGGACCCGAUGUCUGAGAGGAACCUUUUACUUUACGACAGGUUUUUCCUGUAGAUCUGCCAAGCUCAACGCUUAGAAAUCCAGCCUGGGUUUCGGAUAUAAACCGUACAGUGUGUGCGUAGAAAGAAAGGGCGGAGCCGCAGGACAACAAAGCAAACUCUUGGAUCGUGUCCUAGGCUACCAAGCAGACCUGCAAACGUCGCCAGGUCUUCAGGAGAAGCAGCCUUCCUUUGGAGCAUCUCUGCGGCCUGCGGAGCAACAACGGCUCGGCUAACCGGGGGGAUCUUGUAUGAACACCAAACAUGCUCACGGGCCUUUAAAAACAGUGAGCUGCACAAUGUCAGAUGAGCAGAAAGCCAAAUAUGUUUGGAAACGCUUUAUACUGACCCCGGCAUCAUGUCCGUGUGAAGAGCAUAAGAACUGACAGUAGACGUUUUGUCUUAGUAAGCAAGUAAACACUUGUAUGUCAGGAUCCACACGCAGGAAAACAGGUUUCAACCCUAAAAAGGACAAAUGGGUCGCCGUGUUUGCAACUUUUUCUAUUGAAUUUGUUCUCAGGGAUAAGCUCUGGACGGUUUCAAAGUCUGAACUUAAAGGAGGUGUAAAAAAAGUAAAUAAGAAAUAAAAGGAAGAGCAUGGGCGGUCAGGAACGCAGCCGAAAGGUGAUGAAGAGUGAAAGAAGCGAUAGCAAAGGCUCCAGCUCCAGUCGAAGUUCAUAAAGGAGGAUUUACUUGGUGAUUUGGGAGGAACCGGGAGUCUGGAGAGAGCGGCAGAUUAGAGACCUAACAAACAAGCACCCUACGGAGGGACAUACAAGACCUCUGUGCUGAAGGCACAUUUGUGAAAACACUAUAUCUAAAUCCUGCAGUAUUCAGAUAGACCCAACAGCUGUUUUUUUUGUUUUUUUUUUAACUAGUAUUGUUACUAUCAUGCGCAUCGCUUCGGUUAUUCCCAACAACUGUACCAUCACUAAACUUUGGGUGAAGGAGCAGUGAAACGGUUGAGUUUAUGUUUAUGAUGUCGUCAGAGUGGUUUAGCUGAACAAAGUGUUACUACGAGGACACAGUCUGGGAAACUCUCAACAAAAACUUUAAAGUAACUUUUAGGCCCUAAAAGGUUGGUGAGAAACGCUGAUGUACAAUCUGCGUCUACCUCCUCCAUUUGGCUUAGACACGGAGAGGAACGGAGUUGCAGAUGAAUCCAGCUAUCAGGGGGGUAAACAUCUUGUUUGGAGAAAGAUGUUAAAGGCAAAAACCAAACCAAAACAGAAAAGGACACCUUUCUGUUGCCUAAACAAACAACACGCAUGCUUAUCUCGAUGGCCUGGCUGCUGACUCGGCUAUGGCCGUGGGGCCGGCACAAACCCUGCUGGGUCCUCGCCCCCUCAGCCCUCAGUGGCUUGUUCCUCGUCUUGAAGCAAAGAUUCAAAGUGCUUUAAGACUUGUUUUGAUGGGACAAAAGAAAUCUGCUUUUCUCGCCCAUUUACUUUCACAAAUCUCUUCCUCUGGAGGUUCUUUGGAGAAAGUGAGAGUGGUCGCUCCAUCCAAUGAGCAACAUUUGACAUGGUGCAUUCCUGUUAGAAUGAUCUUUUGCCCCAAAAAAAAACAACAACAAUGAAUAUAUUUUGUGCCGUUUGCUCCCACAUGACUCGGUAUUGUAUAAAUUUCUGUUUUAGAGGGGUGUCGCUCCAAAUGGUCUGUUUGAGUCAAGCAUUUUUGUUUUAAAAUAAGUUAUCUAUUUAUCUACUUCAAACAAUGAGAGCUGUAACUUUAAUUUUGAGGACUUUUAGGAGAUUUGGCUCUAAAAUGUUUUCGGAGGGUAAGUCCGCCCUCUGCUGUUCUGAAAAUGACACGUUCAGGGAAGAGUUUCCUACAAUAAAGACGUCAUUUCCUAAAGGAUGUGUGCACCGAGUGCUUC